rnacentral:lncRNA from 1 species
GUGCUUACGGAGUAAGUAACUAACAUGACUGACGCUGACCUUGAGACAUAUUCUUGGGUGGGAUUGAGUGAUGCAUGAUUACCCAUUGAUUUCGAGUUCUGAAAUGUCGCUCUAUACGGACGAUCGUGAUUAUGCAUCUCGCUACCCUUGCACCAAAGCCCUGAAUGAGCCUAUCCCAACUUGAUUCUUGAUUUUUUUUUUUUUUUUUUUUUAGAUUUCUAAAUGCAGUCAGUUCCCCGCGCAUUAAUAACUCUAACUCCAUACGAUACGAUACGACCGAAAAUCGGAAAUCGGAUUCGCUGUUCAGCCCUUUCCCUUCCAACCUUCUCGGUCAUGUCACUUGUUUUGAACAUCAGCUUAACUGAUCCCGGCUUGGCCGGAGCGAUAAAUUCCACAAUAGUGAAAGUCUAACUU